UACAGGGGGUGCAAGCGUUGCUCGGAAUUAUUGGGCGUAAAGCGCGCGUAGGCGGCUACUUAAGUCGGAUGUGAAAGCCCUCGGCUUAACUGAGGAAGUGCACCCGAAACUGAGUAGCUAGAGUACUAAAGAGGGUCGCGGAAUUCCCGGUGUAGAGGUGAAAUUCGUAGAUAUCGGGAGGAACACCGGUGGCGAAGGCGGCGACCUGGGUAGAUACUGACGCUGAGGCGCGAAAGCGUGGGGAGCAAACAGG
rnacentral:rRNA from 1 species